rnacentral:rRNA from 1 species
GACGAACGCUGGCGGCGUGCCUAAUACAUGCAAGUAGGACGCAGUUGCGAACGGGUGAGUAACGCGUAGGUAACUACCUAUUAGAGGGGGAUAACUAUUGGAAACGAUAGCUAAUACCGCAUACUAGUAGAUGGACCUUCGUUGUAUUAGCUAGUAGGUAGGGUAAUGGCCUACCUAGGCAACGAUACAUAGCCGACCUGGAAGGGGGAUCGGCCCAAAGGGGACUGAGGCACGGCCCAGAAUCAGACGGGAGGCAGCAAGAGGGAAUCUUCGGCAAUGGGGGGAACCCUGACCGAGCACCGCCGCGGGAGUGAAGAAGGUUUUCGGAUCGUAAAGCUCUGUUGUUAAGGAAGCGGUACUUAACCAGAAAGGGACGGCUAACUACGUGCCAGCAGCCGCGGUAAUUC